AUGGCCUCUCCCAAGGAGGCUCACAAUGGGCGCGGACAUAUUGCUCGCUAAGGAGCCUACGAAAUCCAAUCUCGUUGGCGUCCUUACGUCCUCGUCGGCCGCCUAGGUUUCCUGGAUUUAAACGCCAGAAACGGAGGCACUCCCAGAAUUCGCCUAGCCACCUGUAGAUCUUGUUGGCCUAACCGGAAGCAAGGAUCGAACUUGGGACCUUGCACUUGUGAAGCAGGCGGUGGAACCACUGAGCUAAAUCCCUGGCACCAGAUGAUUAGAUUCUUAAGAUGUGCUCUGUUUUCUGGACAUAGACACAGACACACACACACACACACACACACACACACACACACGCACAAAUGAUACAGAAUUUAGGAAAGAACCAAGCUAUAAAAUCAGUGUACACAAAUCAAUAGCCUUUUCUGUGCAAUGGGCUGGAAACAACCGUGUAUCUCUUUAAAUAAAUCAUGUGUUGAAAUGCUCACCCCUGGUGUUACAGUAUUAGGAACAGGAGCCUUUGAGAGGAGAAGAGAGAGCUCUGAUGAAUAGGAUGAAUGCUCUUAUAAUGGGGCCCCAGGGAUCUGCCUUGCUGUCCUUCCUCUAUGUGAAUACACAAGUGGAAGUCUGACAGUCUGCAACCCUGAGGGUCCUAGCCUGUGUCCCGCUAUGCAGCCGUUCUAAUCUCAGACUUCUAGUCUACAGAACUGUGAAACAUUAAUUUCUGGUGUUCAUAGGCCCUGAAGUCUGGUAGUCUCUUGAUAUUUGAACAACAUAUACAUUGUUGUAAGAUUUUAUUCUUUUUUGUGUACCAGUUUCUCAGAUACAUGGUACUUUGUUCCACGGUAUAGGGUAGGAUGUUACAGUAAAAUAAACAGAAUGGCGGAGGUAUUUGUUGGUUGUUUACUAACUUUUAAAAACAUUCUUAUUUUGUUUGUAAAGGUGGUAUUAAGCUCACAUCGAGUGCUUAUAAUAAACUCAUUUUGCAUGUCUAUUUGGCAUGUAUUUAACUAGAUAAAACACUGGG
rnacentral:lncRNA from 1 species